AUUGAACGCUGGCGGAAUGCUUUACACAUGCAAGUCGAACGGCAGCACGGGAGCUUGCUCCUGGUGGCGAGUGGCGAACGGGUGAGUAAUACAUAGGAACAUACCCAGUAAUGGGGGAUAACGCCGAGAAAUCGGUGCUAAUACCGCAUACGCCCUACGGGGGAAAGCGGGGGAUCUUCGGACCUCGCGUUAUUGGAUUGGCCUAUGUCUGAUUAGCUAGUUGGUGAGGUAAAGGCUCACCAAGGCGACGAUCAGUAGCUGGUCUGAGAAGAUGAUCAGCCACACUGGAACUGAGACACGGUCCAGACUCCUACGGGAGGCAGCAGUGGGGAAUUUUGGACAAUGGGCG
rnacentral:rRNA from 1 species